UUUACCUCAUUUUUACUUUUCACUCAAAAUUUAAAAUCCCCCGCCCACUCCUCUCUCUCUCCUCCUUUCACCACCACCACCGUAUCCUCACCACAUCGCCGUACCUUCGCCGCUAGACAGCUCCGCCGCCAGCCAUCUUACUUGUUGAAGAAAAGGAGCAAAAGAUUCAAGCUUCCUUCCUUUCAGUUCAAUUUCAGGUCAUUGCUGACGGCCGGUUCCAAAUCCAAAACCCUAAGCUCUUUGUUCCGUUCCUCUACUAAAUUAUCAAAACAAUAGAAAUCCGCUACUACACCUUCAACUGCCUCAGCACAAGAUAUUGCCCAAAAACAAUAUGUAUCUUCCAUUAACUCAACAUCUAAUGUUUCUUCUAAGCCUCUCAGUGAAAUAAUAGCCGAAUGCAUCAACUUUAAUGACUCUGGUCAUGGAGUAUGAAGUUCAAAAAUUUCCCUUGUGGAAGAUUUCACUAUGAUGAAGAGUAGGGAUGUACAUGGACCGGGUUGGUUCGGAUUUUUUAAAGACCAAACCAAACCAAUUGCAUCGGAUUUUUAAAUCUAUACACCAAACCAAACCAACAAAAGUCGGGUUUUUCAACCUCGGAUUUUCUCGUUUUUUUCGGGUUUUUCGGGUUUUUUCCGGUAAAGUCUUCAUACUAAAAAUAUAACUUGUACUUCAAAUAUUUCUUUAGUCCUAGUAAGAUACGACUAUCUAAUUAAGAUAUUUAUUAAGAAAAUAACACAAAACGUGCUGAGAGAUGACAUUGUACUAAAAUAUUCAACGAAAAAAAUUAAUGUAAUUACAUAAAAUAAAAUUUUCAUAAUCUAAAAGUACUAAGUCAUGCUACAAUAAAUACAAUUAAUUUAUAAGGCAUGUAGAAAAUGAUCAUAAUCUCAGGGGUCGUUUGGUUCAAAAACAAAUUACGCUGGGAUAAGUUAUGCUGGGAUUAAUUACGUUGGAUAAGUUAUGCUGGGAUUAGUUAUUCUGGAGUUAUUUUUUAUUAACUGUUUGGUAUGUUGGACUAAAGAUAUUAUACAUUGGAUAAUUUCUAAAAAGAAGAGGUUUCUUCUUUAUCCCGGGAUAACUUAUCAUGGGAUAACUUAUUCCACCCUGUGGCAGGUAUAAGUUAUCCCAGCACUAUUUUUACUCCUGGGAUAACUUAUCCCAUGAUUACUAACCAAACGAGGGAUAAGAAAUUGCUAAAUUCUUAUCCCAAGACUAUUUAUGUUUAUCCUUCAUACCAACGACCCCUUAAAGUACUACGUCAUGCUAAAAUAAGUAUGGCUAAUAAGUAUUAAUUACAUGACUAGAUAUUAAAAAAAAUAAAAAAUUAAGUUAUGUAUUUUCACUUUCUAAACUAAUAUAAAACUAAAGAAUAGAUAUCAAAAUUAUUGUCAUUCCAGUGUUAGAUAUGAAUUUCUUCUGUUAGCAUUAGUAUUGAUUUGAUUUUUGUUGAGUUUUAUUUGAGUUACUAAUAUCAUUGAGCUAUAAAACUUAUUAAACCAUUCAAAAUUCUAAUUCGAAGCUUGAAAUAAUAUGUUAAAAGACAAAAAACUAUGAAAAAGUUAAAGAAACAUUUAUAAAUUACUAUAAAUAAAUAUUUCUAUUUAUAAAAUAUGUUUGAAAUUUUAUAAAUGUAAUGUCGGGUUGGUUUGAUUCGGUUUGACUUUUUUUUAGCUAAAACCAAACCAAACCAAUAGUAUUCGGGUUUUUCUUUUUAAAACCAAACCAAGUCAAACCAAACCACUAGUCGGGUUUUUUUCUCGGUUUGGUUCGGAUUAUCGGUUUGGUGCGGUUUGUCGGUUUGCUUUGUACACCCCUAAUGAAGAGUUUGGAAAAUUAUUUGAAGACAUUAAUCGGUAGGACUAGUUAUUUAUUUCAAACAAGAUCAUUUUAUUUUUUUAGGUUGUGACAUUAAUAUUUUGGAUUAGUACUUUCUUUUAUUUGUUUAGAUUUAAUAAGAUAUUUUUUUAAUGAAUUAAUUGUCUUUUAGCACUUUCCAAUCUUUCGUUGCUUCUAGCCCACUACGAGCUCCCUUAUACUAGUAA